UUUUAGUCAAACAUCCAAUAUAAUUGAUACACAAGAUAAAAGUAAAGAUACAUCCAAAGACUACAUACUGGAGCCCCAAUGGAGGCUCGAGCGUGGGAGAACACCACACAUAUGCUUUCAAUUUCAUACACCGUCUAAACGUCAAAUCACAGACUUGCUUCAUUUACAAUUUUUAUUAAUUUUUUUAAUGUAGGAAAAAAUAAUUAGGCAAAGUGUUUCUCUGCUCUCGCGUCUCCAACAAGCACAUGGGCUUGCAUGGUAAAUUAUGCAAUCCUGCAGGCCACCAGGGGGUUAGCAUCUUUUCAACCACACUGCUCUUUUUUUGGCAUUCUUUUUCCAAUAGUCGUUCACCACAAGUCUAGGCAAACCUAUAUACAACUAUAUUCUGGAAAAUUUGUUCAACCUCUCCACCCCAUAACCUAAAUAAAAAUACAAAUUUUAGUUUAAUGCAUCACAAACCUACUUUCAGAAAAGAAAACCUUUUAUCCAUUAUUAACUUUAGCUAAAUAAGUUGAUGUUCAACCAAUAAUUCCACUGGAUUAGUUCUAACAUACAUAAAAUGACCAACAUCCAAAAUGACUUCAUUUAUUUUGGGAUUUUUCUGGGUUGGCAUACGCACACACUGGGAAUUUCACCCACAUGUUUGAUCCGAGCAGGGUCACUCAGGGUCCACCCACUACAAAAUCUUUCCCUUUUCAAUGGUCCAUUGAAAAGGUACAAAUUAGGUAGUUUAAAAACUGAUUAAAUCUAAAGAAAAACACAGAGAAUAAUAAAAAAGAUUUAUUUAUUUUUAAUACAUAGAAAUGGGCAAAGAGUUUGGGAUCAGACUGACGUGCAAAAGAUUAUUCGUCAGAGCUGGCACCUCUGUUAAUUUACUGUUUGAAUCUUGUCAUCAUUUCCCAGACUCCGCCACUAAGCAACAAAAGCUCACUCGAAUUCUAUAUCACUAAUGGAUUAUAAAACAUAAAAACAAGAUUAGCAGGGAAAAACAAAAAUAUAGAUAUCAAAAGGCCUCACGACUUGCUGAAGCGCGUGCACAACAAACGAAACCGGAGAGAUUCCAUGCCUUUCGGUCAAGAAACAACUACAGGAUUAGCUGGUGGUUAGAUCAGUAGAACAAGAAAGACAACAGUACAAAGAUAAGGAAACCACAUGAACAACAAGAACAACAGAACGAAAAGACCCCCUGCCGCUUAUAUACAACAUCCCCUUUUCAUAUGGUAAAUUGGCUUCACUUAAACUAGGAGAAAGAAAAAAAAAAUAUUAAGAAAAUCCCAUUGCAGAAAUCUCAAGAAUAGCACAAAACAAACUCUUAAAUGCUAAAUGAUGUUGUAGUUGUUACCCUUCUCAGUUUUACUCUUCUCUGUUAUGUUCGAUCAGUCCGGUUCCUGCUAUUCACCUGCUGUUGCUGCCCCUUGUUGCUCCCUUCUCUUUUUUGCGGCGACGAAGAAAACAGCUGACCAAACCCAAAUACGGAGACUGACUUGGAUGUCCCUCUCAGGGAACAAACGGGGACAUUGAGAACCGGAGUCACUCUCACGUUUGCUGAAUAUGACCUCUCCAUUCCCCUGUGCUUGAAUCUUGGGCCUCCGUUAAGGCUACUUGGACUGCUGGAACUCCUCUCCAAGCUCUGGAAUACUAUCUUCCCUGACGAAUUCAUUCUCGGACUGUCUACCGAAACCCCCCUGCUUGUCACCCCACUCGAUUCCCCAACUGCCCUCCGCAUCGGGCUCCUCCCUACUCUCGUACCAGCCGUAGGAUUAUUGCUACCGUUGCUAUUGCUAUUCCCAUUGGUCUCUGACCUGGGCUUCACCAUUCUCAUUCUAGGAGGAUUUUGGUUUGGAUUCCGAUUGAGAACAAAUGGGUUUGGGCUCGGAUUUGGAUUUUGGGGCGCGUUUAAACUCGGGUUUGGUUUCUCUGAAUCGAGAGAGAGUCUAGGGAGAUCUUCAUGCUCGUGGCUCGAAGACGAAGAAGAAAGCGAUAACCUAGAUGAGGAAAUGGAAACGGACUCGUAAUCCGAAUCCUUUAACAACGGCAAGCUCAAAGAGUGAUCUAAUGAAGAUGAGUUGCAACUGCAGGAUUUUGAGCUUCUAUGCAGGAAAUGCUUCAAAGAUUUUGGGUUAGGGUUAGAAGAAGAUGACGAUGUCGUUUUGUGGGAUUCAGCUUUAGCGUUCGCGUUCUGGUAGAGCUUUUUUAACCCCAAGAGCUCCUUCCAUCGGCUUGAACACCUGGGGGCUUUGGGAGAAAACAAGUAGGGGUCAGUAUUAGAUAUUUCCAUCUCCAUUCUACGGCAAGACUUCGCAGUCUCCGGCGACCUGAUCUCGCUCAGAGCAUUGGCAGGUUUGGCGCUCGUAACUUGCAGCGGCAUCAGCAUCCCGUCGGAGAAAAGCUCGUCGGCGGGGAGCAUAGUUACAGGAUCCUCCAGGCGGAACUCAAAGUCAACAGAAUCCAUAAUCUCGGACGGAACUUCAGCUGGAGUAUCGCAUGAGGCGGUCUUAGAGGAUCCAGGUUGCUUGGAGGCAUCCUCUUCACGGCUGAAGGAUAUUCGCGGACUCAACCAGCCGUAGGACGGGUAACUCGCCGGAGAGAAGUUCUCCGGUGACAUGCUGAUGUUGUUAACGCAAGCCGAGGCCAUGGCCUACGAUCAUUCAAUGAAAACAGUACUGGUAUAAUUGAAAGUGUCAGAGUGCUCGUGGGUUCGCGGAGAGCUGUAGCACAUUAACGGAAAUGCUCAGGUGGAUGAGAUCUAGAGAGAGAAAGAGAGGUUCUUUUGGCGAUUUUGUUGGGGUUUGGAAGUUAAAUGUGCGUAGAGUCCAAGUGGCUUUGUGCGUGUGCGCUCUAG
rnacentral:misc_RNA from 1 species